rnacentral:rRNA from 1 species
UCCUCCGGGAGGCAGCAGUGGGGAAUAUUCUGCAAUGGGCGAAAGCCUGACGGAGCAACGCCGCGUGAGUGAUGAAGGCCUUCUGGUUGUAAAAGUGCUGUCUUCAGGGAAGAAAAAAAUGACGGUACCUUAGGAGUAAGCCCCGGCUAACUACGG